AUGAACGCUGGCGGCGUGCCUAAUACAUGCAAGUCGAGCGAACGGACGAGAAGCUUGCUUUUCUGAUGUUAGCGGCGGACGGGUGAGUAACACGUGGAUAACCUACCUAUAAGACUGGGAUAACUUCGGGAAACCGGAGCUAAUACCGGAUAAUAUUUUGAACCGCAUGGUUCAAAAGUGAAAGACGGUCUUGCUGUCACUUAUAGAUGGAUCCGCGCUGCACUAGCUAGUUGGUAAGGUAACGGCUUACCAAGGCAACGAUGCAUAGCCGACCUGAGAGGGUGAUCGGCCACACUGGAACUGAGACACGGUCCAGACUCCUACGGGAGGCAGCAGUAGGGAAUCUUCCGCAAUGGGCGAAAGCCUGACGGAGCAACGCCGCGUGAGUGAUGAAGGUCUUCGGAUCGUAAAACUCUGUUAUUAGGGAAGAACAUAUGUGUAAGUAACUGUGCACAUCUUGACGGUACCUAAUCAGAAAGCCACGGCUAACUACGUG
rnacentral:rRNA from 1 species